GGUUAAGCGACUAAGCGUACACGGUGGAUGCCCUGGCAGUCAGAGGCGAUGAAGGACGUGCUAAUCUGCGAAAAGCGCCGGCGAGGUGAUAUGAACCUUUGACCCGGCGAUGUCCGAAUGGGGAAACCCAGUGCAAUCCGUUGCACUAUCGUUAACUGAAUACAUAGGUUAACGAGGCGAACCGGGGGAACUGAAACAUCUAAGUACCCCGAGGAAAAGAAAUCAACCGAGAUUCCCCCAGUAGCGGCGAGCGAACGGGGAGCAGCCCGGAGUCUGAAUCAGCUUGUGUGUUAGUGGAACGGUCUGGAAAGUCCGACGGUACAGGGUGAUAGUCCCGUACACGAAAGCACACAUGCUGUGAACUCGAAGAGUAGGGCGGGACACGUGGUAUCCUGUCUGAAUAUGGGGGGACCAUCCUCCAAGGCUAAAUACUCCUGACUGACCGAUAGUGAACCAGUACCGUGAGGGAAAGGCGAAAAGAACCCCGGCGAGGGGAGUGAAAAAGAACCUGAAACCGUGUACGUACAAGCAGUGGGAGCCUCUUUAUGGGGUGACUGCGUACCUUUUGUAUAAUGGGUCAGCGACUUAUAUUCUGUAGCAAGGUUAACCGUAUAGGGGAGCCGAAGGGAAACCGAGUCUUAACUGGGCGUUAAGUUGCAGGGUAUAGACCCGAAACCCGGUGAUCUAGCCAUGGGCAGGUUGAAGGUUGGGUAACACUAACUGGAGGACCGAACCGACUAAUGUUGAAAAAUUAGCGGAUGACCUGUGGCUGGGGGUGAAAGGCCAAUCAAACCGGGAGAUAGCUGGUUCUCCCCGAAAGCUAUUUAGGUAGCGCCUCGUGAAUUCAUCUUCGGGGGUAGAGCACUGUUUCGGCUAGGGGGCCAUCCCGGCUUACCAACCCGAUGCAAACUACGAAUACCGAAGAAUGUUAUCACGGGAGACACACGGCGGGUGCUAACGUCCGUCGUGAAGAGGGAAACAACCCAGACCGCCAGCUAAGGUCCCAAAGUCAUGGUUAAGUGGGAAACGAUGUGGGAAGGCACAGACAGCCAGGAUGUUGGCUUAGAAGCAGCCAUCAUUUAAAGAAAGCGUAAUAGCUCACUGGUCGAGUCGGCCUGCGCGGAAGAUGUAACGGGGCUAAACCAUGCACCGAAGCUGCGGCAGCGACGCUUAGGCGUUGUUGGGUAGGGGAGCGUUCUGUAAGCCGUUGAAGGUGUCCUGUGAGGGGUGCUGGAGGUAUCAGAAGUGCGAAUGCUGACAUAAGUAACGAUAAAGCGGGUGAAAAGCCCGCUCGCCGGAAGACCAAGGGUUCCUGUCCAACGUUAAUCGGGGCAGGGUGAGUCGACCCCUAAGGCGAGGCCGAAAGGCGUAGUCGAUGGGAAACAGGUUAAUAUUCCUGUACUUGGUGUUACUGCGAAGGGGGGACGGAGAAGGCUAUGUCAGCCGGGCGACGGUUGUCCCGGUUUAAGCAUGUAGGCGGAGGUUCCAGGUAAAUCCGGUACCUUGUUAACGCUGAGGUGUGAUGACGAGGCACUACGGUGCUGAAGUGAUAAAUGCCCUGCUUCCAGGAAAAGCCUCUAAGCAUCAGGUAACACGAAAUCGUACCCCAAACCGACACAGGUGGUCAGGUAGAGAAUACCAAGGCGCUUGAGAGAACUCGGGUGAAGGAACUAGGCAAAAUGGUGCCGUAACUUCGGGAGAAGGCACGCUGAUAUGUAGGUGAAGUCCCUGCGGACGGAGCUGAAAUCAGUCGAAGAUACCAGCUGGCUGCAACUGUUUAUUAAAAACACAGCACUGUGCAAACACGAAAGUGGACGUAUACGGUGUGACGCCUGCCCGGUGCCGGAAGGUUAAUUGAUGGGGUUAGCGGCAACGCGAAGCUCUUGAUCGAAGCCCCGGUAAACGGCGGCCGUAACUAUAACGGUCCUAAGGUAGCGAAAUUCCUUGUCGGGUAAGUUCCGACCUGCACGAAUGGCGUAAUGAUGGCCAGGCUGUCUCCACCCGAGACUCAGUGAAAUUGAACUCGCUGUGAAGAUGCAGUGUACCCGCGGCAAGACGGAAAGACCCCGUGAACCUUUACUAUAGCUUGACACUGAACACUGGUCCUUGAUGUGUAGGAUAGGUGGGAGGCUUUGAAGCGUGGACGCCAGUCUGCGUGGAGCCAACCUUGAAAUACCACCCUUUAAUGGCUGGUGUUCUAACGUAGACCCGUAAUCCGGGUUGCGGACAGUGUCUGGUGGGUAGUUUGACUGGGGCGGUCUCCUCCCAAAGAGUAACGGAGGAGCACGAAGGUUGGCUAAUCCUGGUCGGACAUCAGGAGGUUAGUGCAAUGGCAUAAGCCAGCUUGACUGCGAGCGUGACGGCGCGAGCAGGUGCGAAAGCAGGUCAUAGUGAUCCGGUGGUUCUGAAUGGAAGGGCCAUCGCUCAACGGAUAAAAGGUACUCCGGGGAUAACAGGCUGAUACCGCCCAAGAGUUCAUAUCGACGGCGGUGUUUGGCACCUCGAUGUCGGCUCAUCACAUCCUGGGGCUGAAGUAGGUCCCAAGGGUAUGGCUGUUCGCCAUUUAAAGUGGUACGCGAGCUGGGUUUAGAACGUCGUGAGACAGUUCGGUCCCUAUCUGCCGUGGGCGCUGGAGAAUUGAGGGGGGCUGCUCCUAGUACGAGAGGACCGGAGUGGACGCAUCACUGGUGUUCGGGUUGUCAUGCCAAUGGCACUGCCCGGUAGCUAAAUGCGGAAGAGAUAAGUGCUGAAAGCAUCUAAGCACGAAACUUGCCCCGAGAUGAGUUCUCCCUGAGACUUUAAGUCUCCUGAAGGAACGUUGAAGACUACGACGUUGAUAGGUCGGGUGUGUAAGCGCAGCGAUGCGUUGAGCUAACCGAUACUAAUGAACCGUGAGGCUUAACCUU
rnacentral:rRNA from 1 species